GACAGAGGGUGCAAGCGUUAAUCGGAAUUACUGGGCGUAAAGCGUGCGUAGACGGUUAUGUAAGUCGGGUGUGAAAGCCCCGGGCUCAACCUGGGAAUGCCAUUCGAGACUGCAUAGCUAGGGUGCGGAAGAGGGAAGCGGAAUUUCCGGUGUAGCGGUGAAAUGCGUAGAUAUCGGAAGGAACACCAGUGGCGAAAGCGGCUUCCUGGUCCAGCACCGACGUUCAGGCACGAAAGCGUGGGGAGCAAACAGG
rnacentral:rRNA from 1 species